rnacentral:rRNA from 1 species
CAUGCCUCCAAGAAAAGCCCUAUACCCGUUAAGGCAUCAUGGCCUGUACCCGAAACCGACACAGGUGGGGUGGUAGGGAAUACCGAGGGGCGCGAGGUAACUCUCUCUAAGGAACUCGGCAAAAUGGCCCCGUAACUUCGGGAGAAGGGGUGCCACCGUAAGGUGGUCGCAGUGAAGAGGCCCAGGCGACUGUUUACCAAAAACACAGGUCUCCGCUAAGUCGCAAGACGAUGUAUGGGGGCUGACGCCUGCCCAGUGCCGGAAGGUUAAGGAAGCUGGUCAGCGCAAGCGAAGCUAGCGACUGAAGCCCCGGUGAACGGCGGCCGUAACAAUAACGGUCCUAAGGUAGCGAAAUUCCUUGUCGGGUAAGUUCCGACCCGCACGAAAGGCGUAACGAUCUGGGCGCUGUCUCGGAGAGAGGCUCGGCGAAAUAGAAUUGUCUGUGAAGAUGCGGACUACGUGCACCCGGACAGAAAGACCCUAUGAAGCUUUACUGUAGCUUGGUAUUGUGCCCGGGCUCGCAAUGCGCAGGAUAGGUGGGAGGCUUUGAUCAUCGGCUUGCGGGUCGAUGUGAGCCAACGGUGAGAUACCACUCUUUGCGAGCUAGGGUUCUAACGGCCACCCGUCAUCCGGGGGCCGGACAGUACCUGGUGGGCAGUUUGACUGGGGCGGUCGCCUCCUAAAAGGUAACGGAGGCGCGCAAAGGUUUGCUCAGGCUGGUUGGAAAUCAGCCGACGAGUGUAAAAGCAGAAGCAAGCUUGACUGUGAGACCAACAAGUCGAACAGGGAGGAAACUCGGCUUUAGUGAUCCGACGGUUCUGAGUGGAAGGGCCGUCGCUCAACGGAUAAAAGUUACUCUAGGAUAACAGGCUGAUCUCCCCCAAGAGUUCACAUCGACGGGGAGGUUUGGCACCUCGAUGUCGGCUCAUCGCAACCUGGGGCUGAAGUCGGUCCCAAGGGUUGGGCUGUUCGCCCAUUAAAGCGGUACGCGAGCUGGGUUCAGAACGUCGUGAGACAGUUCGGUCCAUAUCCGGUGCACGCGCAGGAAUAUUGAGAGGAUUUCUCCCUAGUACGAGAGGACCGGGAGGAACGCACCUCUGGUGUACCAGUUAUCGUGCCAACGGUAAACGCUGGGUAGCCAUGUGCGGAGUGGAUAACCGCUGAAAGCAUCUAAGUGGGAAGCCCACCUCAAGAUGAGUAUUCCCAUGGCGUAAGCCAGUAAGGUCACGGGAAGAACACCCGUUGAUAGGCUCUAUGUGGAAGCGCAGUAAUGCGUGAAGCAGAGGAGUACUAAUAGACCGAGGGCUUU